AUUGAACGCUGGCGGCAUGCCUUACACAUGCAAGUCGAACGGCAGCAUGGACUUCGGUCUGGUGGCGAGUGGCGAACGGGUGAGUAAUAUAUCGGAACAUACCCUAGAGUGGGGGAUAACGUAGCGAAAGUUACGCUAAUACCGCAUACGAUCUAAGGAUGAAAGCGGGGGAUCUUAGGACCUGGUGCUCGUGGGGGGGCCGAUAUCUGAUUAGCUAGUUGGUGGGGUAAAGGCCCACCAAGGCAACGAUCAGUAGCUGGUUUGAGAGAACGACCAGCCACACUGGAACUGAGACACGGUCCAGACUCCUACGGGAGGCAGCAGUGGGGAAUUUUGGACAAUGGGGGCAACCCUGAUCCAGCAAUGCCGCGUGAGUGAAGAAGGCCCUCGGGUUGUAAAGCUCUUUUGUCAGGGAAGAAACGGUGGUUCCUAAUACGAGCUGCUAAUGACGGUACCUGAAGAAUAAACACCGGCUAACUACGUGCCAGCCGCCGCCGUAAAAC
rnacentral:rRNA from 1 species